rnacentral:rRNA from 1 species
UACGAGUGCCCCGAGCGUUAUCCGGAAUUAUUGGGCGUAAAGCGUGUGUAGGUGGUCAUGUUAGUCUCCUGCGAAAUUCUUCGGCUUAACCGGGGCAUGAUGGGAGAAACGGCACGACUUGAGGGUGCGAGGGGUGUGUGGAACUCUAGGUGUAGGGGUGAAAUCCGUUGAUAUCUAGGGGAACACCAAAAGCGAAGGCAGCACACUGGCGCAUUCCUGACACUGAGACACUAAAGCGUGGGUAGCGAAUGGG